AUUGAACGCUGGCGGCAUGCUUUACACAUGCAAGUCGAACGGCAGCACGGGUGCUUGCACCUGGUGGCGAGUGGCGAACGGGUGAGUAAUAUAUCGGAACGUGUCCGGAAGUGGGGGAUAACAUACCGAAAGGUAUGCUAAUACCGCAUAUGCCCUGAGGGGGAAAGGGGGGGAUCGCAAGACCUCUCGCUUUCGGAGUGGCCGAUAUCGGAUUAGCUAGUUGGUGAGGUAAAGGCUUACCAAGGCGACGAUCCGUAGCUGGUCUGAGAGGACGACCAGCCACACUGGGACUGAGACACGGCCCAGACUCCUACGGGAGGCAGCAGUGGGGAAUUUUGGACAAUGGGCGAAAGCCUGAUCCAGCCAUGCCGCGUGAGUGAAGAAGGCCUUCGGGUUGUAAAGCUCUUUCAGCUGGAAAGAAAUCGUACUUAUUAAUACUAGGUGCGGAUGACGGUACCAGCAGAAGAAGCACCGGCUAACUACGUGCCAGCAGCCGCGGU
rnacentral:rRNA from 1 species